CCCAAGCCCGAAUGAAAAAGGUGGAGGGUUGCUUAAGGCCAUAAAAAGCCAGUGUUGAAAACAUGUUAGUACUCAUAAGCAUGAUCCUAAUUGUUUCAUGGUAAGACUAGUCCGUCACAAUAAAUUGAUGCAACAUAUAUUGACCUCUCCAGUUAUUAUGAGAAAUAGAGUUUUCUGUUCCUAAUUCUAACAUUUAAAGUGCCCAUUAGUUCUUUAAAUCAAGGUUCGCCGUACCGUACCGUACCGGCGUUUCGACCCGGGCUCGGUACCGGUACGGUACGGUAUACCGCUCGGUACACCCAGGUGUACCGAGCGGUACACUCAGGUGUACCGAGCACUGUAGCAGUGCUACAGUGCUACAGUGCACUGCUACAGUGCUCGGUACGGGCGGACCAGUACAGGGCGGUCCGCGUACCGCUAGCCUGUCGGACCGGUACGUACCGCCCGUACCGGGCGGUACAAUCCGGUAUGGCAAACCUUGCUUUAAAUCAAGGUCUGCAAUACCGAAUGAUACUGCUCGUACCGGGUGGUACAUACCGGUCCGUCAAUAGACCAGUACACGGACCGCCCGCUACCGAGCGGUACCAUCAAUUAAGGCAUUAUCGUUAUCGAUUGAGGUGUUAUUAUCGACGGUGAUCGAGGGAGAAGAAAGAAGAGGGAGAAGACGAAGAAAGAAAUAGGAAAAAAAGGUAGAACCUGGAUGUCACCUCUCUCCUCCUCGUCUGUCGACGACUUCUCAUCUGUGCGCGGGAGAAGAGGCAUCGGCUUGUGGGGCGGAGAGAAGCGAAGAUUUUUUUUUUCUUCUCUUCUUGGGCAAUGUCGCCUCGGGCAUCAUCGCAAUAUUUUUGUUUUUUAGAUGUAUUUUUUUUUUUAUCUGCGACGUCGCCCCGCAUAGAGGUAAACUGUGCGGUUUACCUAUAUAUAUAUAUAUAUAUAUAUAUACACACACACACAGCGGUAUACCAAAAUAUACCACUCGGUAUAUAGUAUCAUACCGUAUCGAAUAAGUCUUGAAAUUUUGGUAUGGUACAAAAUUUCAAUCCUUGAUUUAAGUGACUUCUUUUAUGGACUAACAUGCAAAUAUCGGGACUGUGUAACUUAUAUAUCAUGAACUAUCAUUGUCCAUAAUGUAAGUUACUCAUCUAAGAAACCAACAAGUAUGCUUUCUGUGGAUGAUAAUUGUUAGGACGGGAAACCACAGCAUGUGGAUAAGGUUCUUAAUGGUGAAAUUUUAUAGGUUGGAUCAAGGUAUGCAAUACCGUACCGUAUUAGUAUUUCGAGGUUGGCUCGGUAUGGUACAGUAUCGUAUACCGAGCGGUACGCUAGGGUGUACCAAGCAGUACACCUAAUUUAGGUGUAAGACCCUCUGAAAAUACCUAAAAAAAAAAAAAAAAGUUAGGAUAGGAUUUUUAAGUUAGAAAUAAAUAUAGUAAUAGCAUAAGUUUAGUAAAAUCAAUGUAAAUUAGGUAAAAAUAGUAUCACAUAUUUUUUUCAGGCUUUGAAGAAUAUCUUAUGCAAGGUUCGUAUUUCAGUUCAGUACGGAUUAUCCUUAUGUAAACAUACCUCUUGAUUAGAAAGUUCUUCCUUUUAAUCUUCCUAAAUUAGCCUCGAUUCAAUUCACAAAUCGUUGUUUUGUAGAGUUUAGGAGAGCACAAAUGUGAGAAAAAAAGAGUUUGAGAUAGUUUAAGAGAGUAUGAGAAUGUAAUGGAGUGAAAUAAAGGAGAAGAAGGGUUUAAAUACCAUAAGAAAGGGUUCCAAUGGUCAAUUUGACCAUUGGAGCACUGUAUCACUAUUACCGAUCGGUUUUAAAUAUUUCUUCCUCUUACUGUAGCAUUGUAGCACUCUAGCAUGUUCUGUCUGGUAGCGGGCGGUUCGCGUACCGGUAUGUCGUCGGAUCGGUACGUAUCGCCCGUACCGGGUGGUACCAUUCUAAAUUGGUUGGAUCAAGAUUGACAAUCCUUGGAACAUGAUGAGAUAAACUACUCCACUCUAUUUGACUUUGUGAACUAAAACUUGAUGGUUAAUUUUUUUUUUAACUUUUUAUUGGCAGCUGCAAUGACAUAUAUGAAUCUCCAAUUGAAUUGUGAGAGACACGAUGGCUAUGCAGGUCCAUUUCUCAAAGGAUUUGGACUGCCAUUUACAAGGACAAGUCUCCACAUUGUUAGUUACAGAUGUUCUUCUGUUUCUUCUUUGCAUUUUGUUCUGUAAUAUUUUGUGUCAAACAUUGAAAUAAUUAUAGAUGAUGUGUUCCAUAUUACUUAAUAGAAAUUCUUUUGCUUUUUGGCUUUCCACGUGUUCAAAAGUGUUCUUUCUUAGUUUAGAGGAUUCCACAAUAAGUUUAUGAAGAAACUAAUGUUAAUUAAAUUAUUUUUUCAUGCAUAUUAUGUGAAUGGAUAUGGUUUCUUAUCAAAUCAAUUUACAACCUGAUUUGGCAAUUUUGUACUUGAAUAGUUGGGUCUGUCUUCAAUAUUUGAUGAAAUUGUUAAAACUGAAGUAACCAGGCACAUGCAACCUACUGAUUACUUGAGCUUGUUUGGGGAAGAAUUCAAAUGAACUGAAGAUUAUUGGGAACAAUUCAUAUUAAUCUGUUGUUGCAGAUAAUAAUAAUGUCAUUGUCAUCUUCUUAAUGCUUGUGCGGGCUAUCUGUCUUCAUUCUUAUCAUCUCGUGUUUGUUGGUUUCAUACCAAGUUUAAUUAUGAAUAGACAAUUUACGUUUUGGCUUUCUAAGUAAGCAUUUAUUUUUCAAUCUUCAGGCAAAAGCAGCAUGUGUAUUGAUUGAUUUAUGCUUUGGACCAUUAUCACCAUGGAUAUAUACAAUUACUGCAAAGGUUGAUCUUGCAAUUGAACUUCCGGAGGACCUCUUGGUGUUAUUCAAGUGUUUUCAUAAUCUGCUAGCCAUGCUUAUGUUGCUUUGAAGCAAGGUAUACAAUUUGAAUGGUACCGUUCGGUACGGGCGGUACGUACCAGUCCGACAGGUUAUCGGUAUGCGGAUUGUCCGUUAUCGCCUGGCACAGCUCGGUAACGGUCGAUUUUGACCCUUUCUCAUGUUUUUAAACCCUUCUCUCCUAUUUCACUCCAUUUUAUUCUCACUCUCUUAAACUAUCUCAAACUUUUUUUUUCUCAUAUUUGUGUUAUCCUAAAUUCCAUUACACCUAAAUUAGGCGUACCGCUUGGUAUGCCAUACCGUACCAUACCGAACCAACCUCGAAACACCGGUAUGAUAUGGUAUUUCAAUCCUUGCUUUGAAAUAUAUCUUGCUGGCCUUGUCUGGGCAUAUGGAUGAUGUACUGUCAAAAUAUAAGGUUUGACCUAUUGAAGUAUCAAGCAUAAUUUUGCUUACUCUUUCCAGUCAGAUAGAUGAUGCUUUUACCAUCCGUGUAGGAAUUUGAACAUAGGUUUCUAUUUCUUUUGGAGAUGCUAGAACCCUUCCUUGAUCUUGUGAUUACUGGAACAAAGAAUACAACUUCUGCUUAUGAUAUACACUUGGAGAAAUAGAAGAACUGUUGUAUUGCAUUCAAUGUUAUAUGUACUGCAUUAUGAAGGCCUGCCAUUCUUCCUUUUGUGGAAUCUGAAUGGAGAUGUGGAUCUAUUGCACCAAGGUCUACUGUAACAGUAUAUGAUAAUAUCAUAGGAAAAAUAAAAAAAACUUUAACAUCUUUAUAGUUUAUACUUUAUAGUGCUUAUUUUUGGAGAUGCAAAGAGAGAGAAUGAAGUGAUCGGUGAAGACUGUAGUUUAAAAAGAUGUGAGAGUCAAAAAAGAAGAAAUUAGUUUUUGUUUUUUUUUCCCUGCAACAAAAAGAAUCUUAUCAAAUGCACCUUGUUGGUUGUUACAUUACUUGGUUUUCAUUUAGCUGACAAUAUACUGUCUUCAUUGUCUUUCUAUAUUGCAGUGUACUCCUUUUUGUUUUGGGGUCACAUAUGUCAUUUCCUUUAGAUAUUGACCUUUGCAAAUAUUCAUUUCCUAAGGUGGCUGAUCAAGAGUUUUAGCUGUUUCUUCUGACUUUGUGAUAUGUUCUCAUGGGGCUUCUAGCACAUCCAGUAAUCCGGAUGAAGCAAAGAGAAAGAUUGAUGCAUCUAAAGCUGCCACAAGAAAAGAUGUACUCCAAGAUGCUAAUCUGUAGUUUGCUCCUAGAGAUCUGUCAAAAAUUGUUCUGACAAGUGUUUCCAAUUAUUUUACGGGGGACUGGAUCAGAUUGAAUUUCGGUUGUGGUGUUUCAGAGGUGAAUAAGAUUUCAAAUAACAACUUUCAGAAUAUUGGUUUCUUUGCUGAUUACUCAAUUUGAACGUUUGGCAGCUGAUUUGUGUUCCCAGCAUGACAUAAUCCCAGAAAGCCAUGAAGCUGCAAUAGAAGCCAUACUCUUGGCUGCAGAAUGUUAUGUCAACUCAUUCUUUAUAAUCGAUUUCAUAUGGAUGCAAUUCAGAGCUUAUGAAUCAGAUGAAAAUCAUUGGAUCCAAAUUCAAGAAUAAAAAUGGAUUAGUGGUGUUUUAUGAAGACCUUAAGAGAUGUAAUGUCAAUCUGGAGACAAUAGCUUAUCUUGAAAGUUAAAGAGAUAUAACUGUUCUACAAAUUCUGCUUCUGCUAAACUGGACCUUGAAUCUGGGAGAAUUUUGGCUCUUGGGAAACCUUGUACAUAUUAUUUUGAAGGUAAUCAGCAGGCUUUGGAAAUAUCACAAGUCGACAUUGAAUCAGCUGAUGUGGCAACAUUGAUUAGGCAGAAUCAACCAUUGCUUUGUCACUUUGUAAUCCUCCUUCAGAGUCUCCCCUCUUUCUACUGCAUUCUGCAACUGAGUUAUCCUGUUCUGUAGAGAAUGUUAAUGACAUUAUACUGCAGUCAGCUGCAAAUCUUAGUGGACAAAUUACAACUUUGUACACCCAACUGAAAGCAAGCAACAUACAGCUUGAAAUGGAAAAGUUACAUGGGCCGCAAAGGUGCUGGGCACUUCUUGAAAGAUUAAUAAUAACAUCUUCUGGAAAUGAUGAACGGACAUAUCCCAUUGGCAUCAAAAGUGCUGGUUUCAUCUACAGAACUUUAUUCCACAUUUAUCGUGGAUGCAGAAAAUAUCCAGAUUUUCAAGUUGCAUAUGUCCAUUUUCUAGAUUUUUAGGAUGGAUGUCAGUAUCUUGAAAUGCAAAGCAAUACUUGAAGGGACACAUGUUUAUUACCUCUGAUCUUUCACAAAUUUUAUCAUUUUUUUAUCAAAUUUUGCGGAUGAGUUAGCACUUACCGAUAAUUUAGUAAAAGAAUUUUUAAUCUGCA